rnacentral:rRNA from 1 species
UACGGAGGGUGCAAGCGUUAUCCGGAUUUACUGGGUUUAAAGGGUGUGUAGGCGGGCUAUUAAGUCAGUGGUGAAAUCUCCGGGCUCAACCCGGAAACUGCCAUUGAUACUAUUAGUCUUGAAUUUUGUUGAGGUAGGCGGAAUAAGUCAUGUAGCGGUGAAAUGCAUAGAUAUGACUUAGAACACCAAUUGCGAAGGCAGCUUGCUAAACAA